rnacentral:miRNA from 1 species
AAACUUGCCUACAGCCAUACCACCCUGAACAAGCCUGAUCCCAUCUGAUCUCAGAAGCUAAGCAGGGUCGGGCCUGGUUAGUACUUGGAUGGG